rnacentral:rRNA from 1 species
AACGAACGCUGGCGGCAUGCCUAACACAUGCAAGUCGAACGAGACCUUCGGGUCUUGUGGCGCACGGGUGCGUAACGCGUGGGAACCUGCCCUUAGGUUCGGAAUAACUCUCCGAAAGGGGUGCUAAUACCGGAUAAUGUCUUCGGCCCAAAGAUUUAUCGCCUUUGGAUGGGCCCGCGUUGGAUUAGCUAGUUGGUAGGGUAAAAGCCUACCAAGGCGACGAUCCAUAGCUGGUCUGAGAGGAUGAUCAGCCACACUGGGACUGAGACACGGCCCAGACUCCUACGGGAGGCAGCAGUGGGGAAUAUUGGACAAUGGGCGAAAGCAUGAUCCAGCAAUGCCGCGUGAGUGAUGAAGGCCUUAGGGUUGUAAAGCGCUUUUACCCGGGAUGAUAAUGACAGUACCGGGAGAAUAAGCUACGGCUAACUCCGUG